rnacentral:lncRNA from 1 species
CCGCCCCGCCCCGCGCCGCCUCUCUGGUUUGUUCGCCUGGCGCAGGUUGCCCGCCUCUUUGUCAGCUGGAAUCGCGCGGGCGGACGCGCCACUACUUUGUAGCGGGUUUCGGGCGGGCCACGCGUGCGGCGACAGGAACCCAACCCCAGCCGACCUUGAGCUCAGGAGUUCGUCUCUUACGUCUGCGGAAGUGCAGCUGCCUCAGUUCUUAGCACAGGUUGACAACUACAGGUACAAGCCAUUGAAGCUGGAAUGUCCUGUUGCUGGUAUUUCAGUUGACUUAAGCCAACUAUCCCUUCAGUUACAAUAGGAAAGUGCCUCUAAUAAGGCCAAAUAUGCGUACUAACUUGUAGCAACCACGUGUCCGUGCAGUGCCACAGGAGCUAGAGCAGUGGGACAACGCUGGUGGCAACAGGGCAAUGUAGCAGGUGCUUCAUGUUCACCUUUUCAGCCUUUUUCAUUUAAUUGUCACAACUCAGAGGUGGAUUCUGUUAGGGACAAGCUGCCCCAGGACCACCCCGCCCCCGCCAACUCAAUGCAGCUGACCCUUAACCUGAAUACUCUGCAGCUGCAUUCCUGAACCCUUAUCUAGGUGCCACAGCAAGGUCCCCAGACUUGCUACACCGAAGCCCUCCGGGUGGCACGGGGGAGGUCAUGAGAAACAUGGAUAAACCUAAGUUACACCCCCUUGUAAAUUCCUGUUUUCACAAGAUAAUAUAUUGUAAGCCGGCCACGAGAUGAAAUGUGGUAGUUAAUCAACUAACAACCCCCCGGGUCUCUCUCCCCCAUAGAAACCCCUCAUUUUGUAAGCUCAGGGCUGCCACCUCUGACUGGUGGAGAAGCCCGGCAGGUUAAUAAACUUACUUGCCUGAC